UACGUAGGGUGCGAGCGUUGUCCGGAUUUAUUGGGCGUAAAGAGCUCGUAGGCGGUGUGUCGCGUCGGCCGUGAAAACCUGCAGCUUAACUGUGGGCUUGCGGUCGAUACGGGCAUCACUGGAGUUCGGCAGGGGAGACUGGAAUUCCUGGUGUAGCGGUGAAAUGCGCAGAUAUCAGGAGGAACACCGGUGGCGAAGGCGGGUCUCUGGGCC
rnacentral:rRNA from 1 species